rnacentral:rRNA from 1 species
UACGUAGGGUGCAAGCGUUAAUCGGAAUUACUGGGCGUAAAGCGUGCGCAGGCGGUUAUGCAAGACAGGUGUGAAAUCCCCGAGCUCAACUUGGGAACUGCACUUGUGACUGCAUAGCUAGAGUACGGUAGAGGGGAGUGGAAUUCCGCGUGUAGCAGUGAAAUGCGUAGAUAUGCGGAGGAACACCGAUGGCGAAGGCAGCUCCCUGGACCUGUACUGACGCUCAUGCACGAAAGCGUGGGGAGCAAACAGG